rnacentral:rRNA from 1 species
GACGAACGCUGGCGGCGUGCUUAACAUAUGCGAGUCGAACGGAAAGGCCCUGCUUUUGUGGGGUGCUCGAGUGGCGAACGGGUGAGUAACACGUGAGUAACCUGCCCUUGACUUUGGGAUAACUUCAGGAAACUGGGGCUAAUACCGGAUAGGAGCUCCUGCUGCAUGGUGGGGGUUGGAAAGUUUCGGCGGUUGGGGAUGGACUCGCGGCUUAUCAGCUUGUUGGUGGGGUAGUGGCUUACCAAGGCUUUGACGGGUAGCCGGCCUGAGAGGGUGACCGGCCACAUUGGGACUGAGAUACGGCCCAGACUCCUACGGGAGGCAGCAGUGGGGAAUAUUGCACAAUGGGCGGAAGCCUGAUGCAGCAACGCCGCGUGCGGGAUGACGGCCUUCGGGUUGUAAACCGCUUUCGCCUGUGACGAAGCGUGAGGGACGGUAAUGGGUAAAGAAGCACCGGCUAACUACGU